rnacentral:rRNA from 1 species
GACAGCAGUAGCCGCGGGAAUACGGAGGGGGCUAGCGUUGUUCGGAAUUACUGGGCGUAAAGCGCACGUAGGCGGCUUUGUAAGUCAGAGGUGAAAGCCCGGGGCUCAACCCCGGAAUUGCCUUUGAGACUGCAUCGCUUGAAUCCAGGAGAGGUGAGUGGAAUUCCGAGUGUAGAGGUGAAAUUCGUAGAUAUUCGGAAGAACACCAGUGGCGAAGGCGGCUCACUGGACUGGUAUUGACGCUGAGGUGCGAAAGCGUGGGGAGCAACAGGAUUAGAUACCCCGGUAGUCCCUGUCUCUUAUACA